rnacentral:rRNA from 1 species
GACGAACGCUGGCGGCGUGCUUAACACAUGCAAGUCGAACGGAAAGGCCCUGCUUUUGUGGGGUGCUCGAGUGGCGAACGGGUGAGUAACACGUGAGUAACCUGCCCUUGACUUUGGGAUAACUUCAGGAAACUGGGGCUAAUACCGGAUAGGAGCUCCUGCUGCAUGGUGGGGGUUGGAAAGUUUCGGCGGUUGGGGAUGGACUCGCGGCUUAUCAGCUUGUUGGUGGGGUAGUGGCUUACCAAGGCUUUGACGGGUAGCCGGCCUGAGAGGGUGACCGGCCACAUUGGGACUGAGAUACGGCACAGACUCCUACGGGAGGCAGCAGUGGGGAAUAUUGCACAAUGGGCGGAAGCCUGAUGCAGCAACGCCGCGUGCGGGAUGACGGCCUUCGGGUUGUAAACCGCUUUCGCCUGCGACGAAGCGUGAGUGACGGUAAUGGGUAAAGAAGCACCGGCUAACUACGUG